GCCCGGAUAGCUCAGUCGGUAGAGCAUCAGACUUUUAAUUUGAGGGUUCAGGGUUCAAGUCCCUGUUCGGGCG
rnacentral:tRNA from 2 species